rnacentral:lncRNA from 1 species
CCAUGCUGUGUUGUUGUCUUAGGUCUCUCUUUAUGUAGUGUUGUGGUGUCUCUCUUUAUGUAGUGUUGUGGUGUCUCUAUGUAGUGUUGUGGUGUCUCUCUUUAUGUAGUGUUGUGGUGUCUCUCUUUAUGUAGUGUUGUGGUGUCUCUCUUUAUGUAGUGUUGUGGUGUCUCUCUUUAUGUAGUGUUGUGGUGUCUCUCUUUAUGUAGUGUUGUGGUGUCUCUCUUUAUGUAGUGUUGUGGUGUCUCUCUUUAUUGUUGUGGUGUCUCUCUUUAUGUAGUGUUGUGGUGUCUCUCUUUAUGUAGUGUUGUGGUGUCUCUCUUUAUGUAGUGUGGUGGUGUCUCUCUUUAUGUAGUGUUGUGGUGUCUCUCUUUAUGUAGUGUUGUGGUGUCUCUCUUUAUGUAGCGUUGUGGUGUCUCUCUUUAUGUAGUGUUGUGGUGUCUCUAUGUAGUGUUGUGGUGUCUCUAUGUAGUGUUGUAGUGUUGUGGUGUCUCUCUCUUUAUGUAGUGUUGUGGUGUCUCUCUUUAUGUAGUGUGUUGUGUUGUCUCUUUAUGUAGUGUUGUGGUGUCUCUCUUUAUGUAGUGUUGUGGUGUCUCUCUUUAUGUAGUGUUGUGGUGUCUCUCUUGUCGUGAUGUGUGUUUUGUCUUGUAUUUUAUUUUAAAUCCCAGCCCCCAUCCCCCCCAGCACACCUUUUGGUAGGACUUCAUCGUAAAUAAGAAUUUGUUCUCAACUGACUUGCCAAGUUAAAUUAAAGUAAAUAUAAAUUCAGUACCACAUUACGAC